UACGUAGGGUGCGAGCGUUAAUCGGAAUUACUGGGCGUAAAGUGUGCGCAGGCGGCAGAGCAAGUCGAGUGUGAAAGCCCCGGGCUUAACUUGGGAAUUGCGCUCGAAACUACUUUGCUGGAGUGUGGCAGAGGAAGGUGGAAUUCCACGUGUAGCGUGAAAUGCGGUAGAGAUGUGGAGGAACACCAAUGGCGAAGGCAGCCUUCUGGGCCAACACUGACGCUCAUGCACGAAGCGUGG
rnacentral:rRNA from 1 species